rnacentral:hammerhead_ribozyme from 1 species
AUUAGCUGACGAGUCCCGAAUAGGACGAAAUGCGCAUCCUGAAU